rnacentral:lncRNA from 1 species
UGACCAUCCGAUCGGAUGGCCAUUCGAUCGAAUAGUUAUCCGAUCCAUGCCAUCCCACCGCCUUAUCCUCUCUACACUAUAAAUACCUCCUGUCAAAUCACUUGAUGUGACAGGCUUAUCCGACCAGACGCUCUCACUCGUUCUCAAGCACUUUUCUCUCGAUUCUCGACUAUUUCUCAGGCUAACUCCAGCGCUCCCUUCGAUCCAAUUAGUCGGUGUUGAUACUAAACACCCACUUUCCGCCUUAACAAUGGUAGCGCUAUAGGGGUAAUGCACCUCCCCGUUAGACUUUGGGGGUAUUGUUAGGAGGAGACAUUUAACCUCCCGUUAGUCUUUGGGAAAGGCAUUUAACGCAUUGGAAACUUGGGCUAUCACUUGGACUGCGUAAACUAGCAUGGUUGAUAGUAGCUGAGGAAAUCAAGAAACAUGCUAGGAUGCUGCUUAGAAACACAUCUUAGUAAAUUUAGAAAUUUUGAACAAUGUUUGAUGUUUUGUAUCU